rnacentral:rRNA from 1 species
GAUCAUGGCUCAGGACGAACGCUAGCUACAGGCUUAACACAUGCAAGUCGAGGGGAAACGACAUCGAAAGCUUGCUUUUGACGGGCGUCGACCGGCGCACGGGUGAGUAACGCGUAUCCAACCUGCCCAUCACUUGGGAAUAACCUUGCGAAAGUAAGACUAAUGCCCAAUGACAUCCCACGAAGGCAUCCGAAUGGGAUUAAAGAUUUAUCGGUGAUGGAUGGGGAUGCGUCUGAUUAG